rnacentral:rRNA from 1 species
GGUGAGUAAUGUCUGGGAAACUGCCUGAUGGAGGGGGAUAACUACUGGAAACGGUAGCUAAUACCGCAUAACGUCGCAAGACCAAAGAGGGGGACCUUCGGGCCUCUUGCCAUCGGAUGUGCCCAGAUGGGAUUAGCUAGUAGGUGGGGUAACGGCUCACCUAGGCGACGAUCCCUAGCUGGUCUGAGAGGAUGACCAGCCACACUGGAACUGAGACACGGUCCAGACUCCUACGGGAGGCAGCAGUGGGGAAUAUUGCACAAUGGGCGCAAGCCUGAUGCAGCCAUGCCGCGUGUAUGAAGAAGGCCUUCGGGUUGUAAAGUACUUUCAGCGGGGAGGAAGGGAGUAAAGUUAAUACCUUUGCUCAUUGACGUUACCCGCAGAAGAAGCACCGGCUAACUCCGUGCCAGCAGCCGCGGUAAUACGGAGGGUGCAAGCGUUAAUCGGAAUUACUGGGCGUAAAGCGCACGCAGGCGGUUUGUUAAGUCAGAUGUGAAAUCCCCGGGCUCAACCUGGGAACUGCAUCUGAUACUGGCAAGCUUGAGUCUCGUAGAGGGGGGUAGAAUUCCAGGUGUAGCGGUGAAAUGCGUAGAGAUCUGGAGGAAUACCGGUGGC